CUACGUGCCAGCAGCCGCGGUAAUACGGAAGGUCCAGGCGUUAUCCGGAUUUAUUGGGUUUAAAGGGAGCGUAGGCUGGAGAUUAAGUGUGUUGUGAAAUGUAGACGCUCAACGUCUGAAUUGCAGCGCAUACUGGUUUCCUUGAGUACGCACAACGUUGGCGGAAUUCGUCGUGUAGCGGUGAAAUGCUUAGAUAUGACGAAGAACUCCGAUUGCGAAGGCAGCUGACGGGAGCGCAACUGACGCUUAAGCUCGAAGGUGCGGGUAUCAAACAGGAUUAGAUACCCUGGUAGUCCGCACAGUAAACGAUGGAUGCCCGCUGUUGGUACCUGGUAUCAGCGGCUAAGCGAAAGCAUUAAGCAUCCCACCUGGGGAGUACGCCGGCAACGGUGAAACUCAAAGGAAUUGACGGGGGCCCGCACAAGCGGUGGAGCAUGUGGUUUAAUUCGACGCAACGCGAGGAACCUUACCAGAUCUUGACAUCCCG
rnacentral:rRNA from 1 species